AUUCUGAAGAGUUGUGGGAGAAAUUCAGAGCAGGGUUUGUUGUUGUUGUCUUUCUGAUAGUAACACUCGCCAAGUCUCCAAAUUGGCUGUGGCGUGCUACAAAGCCCUCCUAUUUUCCCUACCAAUACACCGCGUUUCAACUUUUUCACCAUUGAUGAUCCUAGAGCUCGCCUAGUGACCGCCUAGCAACCGCCUAGACCGCGGGCCAGCCUAGCGACCGCCUAGACCGCCCAGCGCCCGCCUAGUGACCGCCUAGCAACCGCCUAGACUGCCUAGCCUGCCUAGCCCCCGCCUAGCCCCAGCCUAGCCCCAGCCUAGCCCGCCUAGGCCAUUUAUUCCGUAAUAUUAACAAUAUGAGUGAGUGUGUUCAACGAUUUAACUUGUAAAGAAGAUUUCCGAACAACAACAGAUAACCCAGAGAAGUUUCAAGGAGUUAUCACAAUGGUGGCUCUUGGCCAACACUGCUGUGGUUGCUUACUGCAGCAUGUAUCAAGACGGGGAGGCCUCAGACUGCUAUAUGAGAGCAAUUGAACAGGUGGAGCAACGGCUCUCAAAAGACGGGUGGCCAGAAUACUAUGACGGCAAGGCAGGGAGAUAUGUCGGGAAGGAAGCGAGGAAGUACCAGACCUGGAGCAUCUCAGGAUAUCUGGUAGCUAAACUGAUGAUCGAGAACCCAGCCAAUCUUUCACUAAUCCCUCUUGAAGAGGACAAGAAGAUAGCCAAGCCAAGGCUCACCCACUCCGCUUCCUUUUGAGUCAAACCAGUGGCAGCAGCAUACAUGAUGCAUUACAGGAAAUUUGUUGAAGUUGAUAUGAGGAAGUUCACAUUACUAGCAAAGGGUAGCUACGUCCUCAUCAUCACCAUCUUCCUCACACCCAUCUUGGACGUCUCCUCAUGUUUUACUUAGUGAUGCAAGGAGUUCAAUACAUCAAGGAGUUUUGUAAUUGUGAACUUUUGUUCUUUAUACUAUCCUGUUCUAUUUUGUUGUGCAUAAUGGAUGAACUCAAUAUUUUUCAGAGAGGAACAAUUAAGAGAUAAAGCUGUGAAGCAUUUAAGGCGCAUAAAUUGCAAGGAGUAUGGAUACAUGUAAAAAAACAAAUAAAGGAAAUUUGUACUGGAUAAUUUGUCUUUGUGCCAAAAUCAUGAGUUGCUUAGGUGAAAUACAAAUCUGUUUUUAUUA